rnacentral:rRNA from 1 species
AGGGCGUAUGGUGGAUGCCUUGGCAGACAGUACCGAUGAAGGACGUUUGAGGCUGCGAUAUGCCUCGGGGAGCCGCCAGCAGGGCUUUGAUCCGAGGAUUUCCGAAUGGGGGAACCCGCCGGCCGUCAUGGGCCGGCACCGCGUUCGCGCGGGGGGUACGCAGGGAAGUGAAACAUCUCAGUACCUGCAGGAAAGGAUGUUCCGUGAGUAGUGGCGAGCGAAAGCGGAUCAGGCCAAACCGCGCGCGUGUGACAGGCGCCAGCCGUUGCGCGCGUGGUGUUGAGGGAGCGUGUGUCCGGGUCCUGGCGGGCCCGGCCGGAGUGAUAAAACGGCGUGUGAGGCGAACCGGAUUGAAUGCCGGGCCGCAGAGGGUGAUGGCCCCGUAGCCGAACGCGCGUCGUCUCCGGAUCGUGUUUCCCAAGUAGCGCGGGACUCGUGGAAUCCCGUGUGAAUCCGCCCCGACCGUGGGGUAAGCCUAGAUAUACCUGUCUGACCGAUAGCGAACUAGUACCGUGAGGGAAAGGUGAAAAGCACCCCGGGAGGGGAGUGAAACAGUCUCUGAAACCGUGCGCUUACAAACCGUCGGAGCCUUUCGGGGUGACGGCGUGCCUAUCGAAAAAUGAGUCUGCGAGUCAGUGGCACGUGGCGAGCGUAACCCGUGUGGGGUACGCGUAGCGAAGGCGAGUCUCAAAAGGCGUUUGAGUCGCGUGUCCUGGACCCGAAGCGGGAUGAUCUAGCCCUGAGCAGGUUGAAGCGCGGGUAAGACCGCGUGGAGGACCGAACCCACCUGGGUUGAAAACCGGGGGGAUGACUUGGGGCUAGGGGUGAAAGGCCAAUCAAAUUCCGUGAUAGCUGGUUCUCUCCGAAAUGCAUUUGGGUGCAGCGUCGGGUCAUUACGUCCCGGGGGUAGAGCUACUGGAUGCUUGCGGGCCCGUAUCGGGUACCAACAGCAACCAAACUCCGAAUACCGGUGACGCGUAUCCCGGCAGUGAGUCGGCGGGGGAUAAGCUUCGUCGUCGAAAGGGAAACAGCCCAGACCGUCGUCUAAGGUCCCGAAGCGUGUGCUAAGUGGGAAAGGAUGUGGAGUCGCAUAGACAGCCAGGAGGUUGGCUCAGAAGCAGCCACCCUUGAAAGAGUGCGUAACAGCUCACUGGUCUAGUGGUUCCGCGCCGACAAUGUAGCGGGGCUCAAGCACGCCACCGAAGACGCGGCAGCGUCCGUUUGGAUGCUGGGUAGGAGAGCGUCCCCAUCGGGGCGAAGCGGCGGCGCAAGCCUGCCGUGGACCGUUGGGGAGUGAGAAUGCAGACAUGAGUAGCGAGAGGCGGGUGCGAAUCCCGCCCGCUGGAUGACCAAGGGUUCCGGGGCCACGUUCGUCGUCCCCGGGUGAGUCGGGUCCUAAGGCGAGGCCGACAGGCGUAGUCGAAUGGAUGAACGGGCUGAUAUUCCCGUACCGGCAGCGAACCGAAACAACCGAGGCCUGGGGCGCUAACCUCCGGGUCCGUGCCGUCUCCCCUUUCGGGGGGUCGCGGCGCGGGCGCGUUGGGAUCCCCCCUCGUAGUAGGUCAGCGCAGGAGUGACGCAUCAGGGCAGCCGGCCGCGGAGGUGGUUUUCCGUGGUCAAGCGUUCGAGCCCGUCCCGCAGGCAAAUCCGCGGGGCGUCGGGGCGAGGCGUGAUGAUGGGGGCCUUACGGCCCGAAUCCGGUGAUCCGUGGUGCCGAGAAAAGCUUCGGCGUCAGGCGCGUUGCCGCCCGUACCCCAAACCGACACUGGUGGUCAGGUAGAGAAUACCAAAGCGAUCGAGCGAAUCCUGGUCAAGGAACUCGGCAAAUUGCUCCCGUGCCUUCGGCAUAAGGGAGACCCCCUGCGGUGAUGAGCGGCGGGGGGUGGCACAGGCCAGGGGGUAGCGACUGUUUACCAAAAACACAGGAGCGUGCGAAGGCGCAAGCCGCUGUAUACGCUCUGACGCCUGCCCGGUGCCGGAAGGUUAAGAGGAUCCGUCAGCUUCUGCGAAGCGGUGAAUUCAAGCCCCGGUAAACGGCGGUGGUAACUAUAACCAUCCUAAGGUAGCGAAAUUCCUUGUCGGGUAAGUUCCGACCUGCACGAAUGGCGUAACGACUUCCCCACUGU